rnacentral:rRNA from 1 species
UACGUAGGGGGCUAGCGUUGUCCGGAAUCAUUGGGCGUAAAGCGCGUGUAGGCGGUCCGGUAAGUCCGCUGUGAAAGUCGGGGGCUCAACCCUCGAAUGCCGGUGGAUACUGUCGGGCUAGAGUGCGGAAGAGGCGAGUGGAAUUCCUGGUGUAGCGGUGAAAUGCGCAGAUAUCAGGAGGAACACCAAUUGCGAAGGCAGCGCGCUGGGACGUAACUGACGCUGAGACGCGAAAGCGUGGGGAGCAAACAGG